rnacentral:rRNA from 1 species
AUUGAACGCUGGCGGCAGGCCUAACACAUGCAAGUCGAGCGGAGCGGCGGACGGGUGAGUAAUGCCUAGGAAUCUGCCUGGUAGUGGGGGAUAACGUCCGGAAACGGGCGCUAAUACCACAUACUAUCAGAUGAGGCUAGGUCUGAUUAGCUAGUUGGUGGGGUAAAGGCCUACCAAGGCGACGAUCCGUAACUGGUCUGAGAGGAUGAUCAGUCACACUGGGACUGAGAAACGGUCCAGACUCCUACGGGAGGCAGCAGUGGGGAAUAUUGGACAAUGGGCGAAAGCCUGAUGCAGCCAUGCCGCGUGUGUGAAGAAGGUCUUAGGGUUGUAAAGCACUUUAAGUUGGGAGGCGUUACCAACAGAAUAAGCACCGGCUAACUACGUGCCAGCAGCCGCGGUAAUAC